CAAUGCAGGAAUUUCAGCUUUAUUGCAUAUGUAAGAUGCCUAAACAUCACCAUUUUGAUCAAGUCAAAGGCUGCUGUUCCUUGGCAUCAUUUCCACAUGCUCCCUGCUGUCUUCUAGCAUAAGCCUGAAUCUACAAAAUGGAGUCAAAGCUGGGGUGAAGGAAGCCAUCUAUUCAGCGGUGAAACAGGUGGUGCUGGGGAGCUGAGAGCAAGAGGGCUGGAUGGUCUGAGCAGGAGGAUGUGACCCAAGGCCAUGGAGUUGGAAGCCCAAGGGAAUGAUGAGGGCAUGACCCAAAGCCACUGUGUGGGGAGCCCACAGGAGCAGAAACCCCUGCUGAUGUUGGUCUGCAGGGCUAUCAAUAUUCUAUGGAGGUUCAUCUCUUCUGCUCUACACUUUGGGAGAAAAGUCCCUGCAGAAUGACAAAGGCUCAUCAAUGCUGCAGAACGGUUUGGUCCUUUCUGGAAUAAAUCUGGUUGUUUGCUGAAGUGGGGUUGGGAGUUGGGUGUGACAUGGGGUAAGGAAAGUUUCUGCAAAUGUCUGUCUCUUAAUUAAUAUUAAUACCUCUCCAGCUUUUUAUCUUUGCUUUAAAUAAAAGAAA